CAGAUCAAAAAUUUUCCACAACCACUCUACAAAGGUUUUCAUUCUAUCUCUGAAGCCUUAGACACUGCUCGUACCCAUUUUGGCCCAAACUUUUUCAUCUCCCCCAAUAUUCGCUCUUCUCCACAUAUCCAAGCCUCUACAUCCACCCACAAUCUUGAGAAAAAUAGUUUCUGUGAAAACUGCUCAACAAUGGCAACACAGCUUCAAAAGCUGAAUACCAUUUGUGAUGACUUACGAACAAAGGAUCAGAAAAAUCUCCAGAAAAUUGCUAUUCUGGAACAGCAGAUCAGAGACCUCAAGCAUCCUUCACAACAAGGUAUUGUAUCUCUACCUCAAUCUUCCUCUUAUCCUCCUCCAAAGUAUCCUCCUAUAAUGACAAUAACACCAAGGUUGGUAUUUCCUCCUAUCACCAACAUAAAAACCCCUUUUCAAAACUCACUAAUCCCAGUAGUCCAUCCAUCCACUUCGGUAAAACCGCUUCCCUUAUCAUCUGCCCUUUUUCCACCACAAAGGCCCUCCCUCAAAAGAUAUCCAAGGCCAAUAGCCAAACCAUUACCAAGACCUAAGCCCUCUUCAGAACCAUUACUACACCCUAGUAUAGGAAACACAGAAGAAAAACAAGGCGAUCCCAUGAUACUAGAAGCAUCUUCUCCCAAAAUUGACAAUUUAGGGGAAAAUGCUUAGCCGCCUGGUUCUGAUAUUUUGUACAUAUUUGUAUAUAUUUUAUCUGCUUGUUUUCGUUCUCGCGCUUUUCAUGGUAUCGUAGGAUUCGGACGAGGUGCUAAAAAAAAAAAGAGAGCAAAUAAAUAAAGAUAAUUUCAGAGAAAAAUUGAAAUAUCAAAAGAAGAAAAAGAAAUCUGGAAUGAGAAAAUCAAAGAAAAUGAAAAAUGAAAAAGAAGAAAAGAAGAAAAAUCAGAAAGAAAGAAAUCAGAAAAAGAAAAAAAUAGAAAUCAACCAGCCUUGAUCUGUACAAGGCAAAAUAAGGGUUUUUAGUUUAGGACUUUACUUUUUGUUUUCUAGUUUAAAAGUUUUUAAAUUUUGGCUAAUCACCUUGUGAUCCAACUCCACCACCAAAAGCAAGGUUCCUAAGUCUGUUCUCAAACAGACACCACCAAUUUUUCAGAGAAAAAAUUUUGGCCACCAAAGAGCAAAUGACGGAUCAACACUUGGCCUCCAUUUGGACAAAUACUGAAGCGACACGUGGACAUCACUCAUGCACCAAGUCCAUGCACCAAGUCCACCUAAUUCUCAAAUAGUGCCGCCAAUGAUGACGACCCAAAACAUCUUCGCCCCUGGUGGUUUUUGAAAAAAUGGUGGGCCCACGUCAUCAUUCCUUCCAUUACCUCAACCUGCGUAGCCGCGGUUUUUUUUGAAAACCACGUGCCGCCGCAGUAUUCUCCUCCCAAACCACCUCUUCCUUCAGCUAUAAAAGGAAGCCUUCCUCCUCCUCUUGAAGCAUGGCCAAUGGAGAGCAAGUAAGCAUCGCAAAAAUAUAGCAUCAAAGAGAAAAAAUCCCCUUAGCUCCUGUAUGUAAACAAUUCCGCUGAAGCAGGAAAUUUCAGAGAAAAAUGGAUAUAUCAAAGAAGAAAAAGAAUCUGGAAAUGAGAAAAUCAAAGAAAAUUGAAAAUAAAAAAGAGAAAAAGAAGAAAAAUAUCAAGUAAAAGAAGAAAAAUCAGAAAAAAAAAAAAAAAAAUAACCGCUGUUUCUGAUUGUCCUUAUUAUCUAAGCAAGCACUGUGUCCUUUGAACAUACACGCAUAGUGUUUUCUAAUCCAACCUGGUGUAUGUCUGGGGCUGAGGAAGAGAGAAAUCUAGGUAAGUUAUUCACUAUUCGCUCUCUAGUGUCUUCAAAUAACCUGUGUAUGUCUGAUUAAUAUCAUCACAGAGGUUUCUUCUCACGAUAAUUUAAGUCGUUUGUCAAAUGGGGCAAUAAUGUGGGAUCAAAUGUCUUAUGAACCUGUAAAAUGUCUGAAACAAUAUUCAUUAUAUUAAUAUUUUUAUGUCUAGAGAAAAUUCUUUUAAAUAAAUAAUCUCCAGAUAUCAGAGAUAAUAUUAUCUAAAGGUUCUUCAAAUAGUCUCCAAAUGUCUAUAAGGAUAUUGUCUUGAAAGCAUAAAUCACAGAGGAUUUGGCUGAAAUCAGAUAUUUCAAAAUCUUCAUUUUCCUCCGGGAUAGUGUCUAAAACAAAAAACAUUUGUUGAGUCUGGUAAUGUGUCAUGUCUCUUUUGUCCAUGUCUUCUGUUUCCAAUGUGUCUUCUUCUAUGGUGUGGAACCACCAUAUAUCUAUUUCAUCUUGAGCGGCCAUGGUAUUGUAAAAGUUUGGAUUAAUGAAAACGCGGAUCCACAUUAUAUUCGAUAUUGGGUUGUUUUUCUAAAUUGAUAACUAUCUGAAUAGACAAACGAAUAGCCACUGCAUUCUGGCGUGAUCCUUUAACUAUAGAUGUGUAGGGUUUUAGGGUUUAGGGUUUAGGCUUUAGAAGAAGGUGUGGAAAUGUUCCAAGUUUAAGGUUUUAGGUGCGGAAAUGAUUUUUAAACACAAACUACAAGUCUGUUGUUAUGAAAACCCUAAAAAUAAAAACCCUAGGAUUUUAUGGAGAAAACCCUAGUCUAUUUAUAAAAACCCUAAGGUAUGAGGAAAAACCAACCUUUGAAAGAAGCAAAAAACCUAAUAAGGAGGUUUUCAAUAUUUUUGGGAUUUUUUGAGAUUUUUUAGAAAACGCGGAAAUAUUAGGGGCUGGGUCAGAUUAUGUAGUAUAUUGAAAAUUAGGUCUUAGGAAAUACCUAAGAGGAAAGUAAAAGUAAGAAAAAGAAAGUUUAAAUUUUAACAAUUUUUUGGAUAUUUUUUGGGAAUUUUUCUGAUGCUAAUAAAAUAUUAAUUAGUGUAGAGUACUAUGCAGGAUUUACGUGCGUACUAUUAUAAGGUAUAUCUAAACACUAUGCGGGUUACUAAGCAAAUUAGUAAAGAAAGAUUUUUAUAGGAGAGACCGUAUGUCGGCUACUCUGAAGAAGGGUGGCAAAAUACUCGUGAGAUUUUUCUGGAUUUUUUAGUAUUUUUUCUGUCUGGAAAUGUUGCUGUCGAAAAUUAGCGAAGUUACAAUGCACGAUAACUAUGCAUACAGUGGCUUCACGUGAAUGAAAUUUUUUUUUUUUUUUUUUUUUACUUUUCAAUUUUACUAUGCAAAUAGUGAAAGUAGAACAGAAAAAUGUGCAGAGGGGAAACUAUAUGUCGGCUAUUCUGGACAAGGGUAGCAAAAGACUCGUGGGAAUAUUUUAUAUUUUUUAAGAUUUUUUACGAAUUUUUUCGGUCUAAAAAUUAAGUGGCGUAAUUAGUGCUAAUUAUGAAAAGUGACAUGCACGUGGGGGGUUUUUUAUUUUUUAUUUUAUAUAUAUAUAUAUAUAUAUUUUUUAUCUUUAUUGAGUUUUUUUAAAAACUUAAAUUGAAGUGUGUUUGUAGGCGGAAACGAUGUUGGUCGUUAUUAAAUAUUAUUUUAAUUGGGAUGUGUAGGUGGAUGUUUAGAUGAAAUUGUUUGAUAGAUAGUUCACAGUAAAAAAGGAGCGGAAAGAAAAAUAUAUAUGUCUUAAAGGAUAUUUCUAGUAUGAAUAAAAAUAGGAUGAAGCGCAAAUUUAAAAUCUCCGUUGUGGAAGAUAAAUUUUAAAAUCUUUUUAAAGUAGGUCCCGUCUGGUACUCCCUUCUAGAAAUCACGAUAAAAAUUUUCUCGGAUGUUUUUUUUUAUAUAUUUCUAUAACUCUUUAUCUCAUUAAAUUUUCGAUGAUGCAAUUUUCCUAAUACUCGGACUUAUGAUGAAAUUUAAUUUUCUAAUGUGGAUAACACCACUUAAGACACAGUGUUGGUGCACAAGACCCUCUUAGCGUACAGUUUUCAGAGAACCUCGCUCUUACGCCGCAAAGCACCUCUGGCUAUCAAUGGCGAAAUUUACAGAGCAUUUUUUCUCUUAUCAAAUCUGCCAAGCAUAUAUGCUUUACACUUGCUUAAGCUGAAAUAAUUACCCAGAGAGAACCCAUAAAUUUUCAUUAAGAGUCCAAGGAAAGGGAAUCAUGGGGCAAAGAAAAUGCCAUGGAUAGAAGAGUUCGAGAAAUAUAAUAUUAAACAAGAGAUAAAACUUACAUCACAACGCUAGAAGGUUUCCCUUCCGGGACUUCCCGGGGGGAAAAAAGGACUUGUUUGUACAGACUCUUCACUCCAGAUUGCAGUUGAUAAAAAGAUAAAUUUUUACAGGAGGGGGAGAAAAAUAAAAGCCAUUGGAUUUAUUUGUGGAGCUAGGAUGCUAUAUCUAACAAGAUGAGAGCUUCAUUCUUCACUUGUUGUCGAAAUGAUCUUCCUUUAAGCUUCAGCGCAAUUUUUACAUAAGGCAGGGGCUAAGUGGGAUUUUCUCUUGCUCUGCUUCCUUGCUCACCAUGCUUCAAGAGGAGGAGGAAGGCUUCCUUUUAUAAGAAAAAGGAAGAGUGGUUUUGGAGGAGAAAACUGCGGCGGCACCUGGUUUUCAAAAAAACCGCGGCUACGCAGGUUGAGGUAAUGGAAGGAAUGAUGACGCGACAUGAUGACGUGGGCCCACAGGCUUUUCAAAAAAAACCUCAGGCGUAGUGGUUUUGGAUGGUCAUCAUUGGCAUGACUUUUUGAAAAUUCGGUGGACCUGGUGCAUCAGUGAUGUCCACGUGUUGCUUUAAUAUUUGUCCAGAUGGAGGCCAUUUGUUGAUUCUUCAUUGGCUUGGUGGGGGCCAAAUAUUGCUCUGAAAUUUGGUGGUGUCUGUUUGGGAACAGACUUUGGAACCUUGCUUUUGGUGGUGGAGUUGGAUCACAAGGUGAUUAGCGAAAAAUUAAAAACUUUUAAACUAGAAAACAAAAAGUAAAGUCCUAAACUAAAAAACCCUUAUUUUUGCCUGUGAAGGAAUCACAGCGGGUUGAUUUCUUUUUUCUUUUUUCUUUUUCUGAUUUUUUCUUUUUUUUCUUGAUUUUUUCUUCUUUUUUGUUCUUUUUUCAUUUUUCAAUUUUUUCUUUGGUUUUUUCAUUUCCAGAUUCUUUCUUCUUCUUUUGAUAUUUCCACUUUUUUCUGGAAAUUUUCUGUUUUUUCUCCUUUUUUUUUUUUUUUUUUAGCAGUGUCCGAAUACGCGGACUACAUGAAAAGGCAUAAUUGAAAAACAGAUGCAGAACUGAAGGAAAUAUAUACAAAUAUGUACAAAACAUCAGAACCAGGCGGCUAAGCAAUUUCCCCUAAAUUGUCAAUUUUGGGAGAAGGUGCUUCUAGUAUCAUGGGAUCUUCUUGUUUUUCUUCAGUGUUUCCUAUACUAGGGUGUGGUAAUGGUUCUGAAGAGGGCUUAGUUCUUGGAAAUGGUUUAGCAAUUGGCUGUGGAGGUUUUUUGUGGAAAGCUUUUUGUGGUGGAAAAGGUGCUGAUGAUAGUGGAAGCGGUUUUACUGAGGUGGAUGGAUGGACUACUGGGAUUAGUGGGUUUUGAAAAGGAGCAUUUAUGUUGGUAAUUGGGGGAAAGACCAAACUUGGUGUUAUUGUCAUUAUAGGAGGAUACUUUGGAGGAGGAUAAGAGGAAGAUUGAGGUAGAGAUACAAUACCUUGUUGUGAAGGAUGCUUGAGGUCUCUGAUCUGAUGUUCAAGGAUUGCAAUUCUUUGUAGAUUUUUCUGAUCCUUUGUUCUUAAGUCAUCGCAAAUGGUAUUCAGCUUCUGAAGCUGUGUUGCCAUUGUUGAGCAGUUUUCACAGAAACUAUUUUUCUCAAGAUUGUGGGUGGAUGUAGAGGCUUGGAUAUGUGGAGAGGAGCGAAUAUUGGGAGAAAUAAAAAAGUUUGGGCCAAAGUGGGUGCGAGCAGUGUCUAAGGCUUCGGAGAUAGAAUGAAAACCUUUGUAGAGUGGUUGGGAAAAAUGCCAAUUUUAAAACCUUGAAAUACUACAUAGUAAGGAAACUUAUUUAUUUAUUUAUUUAUUUAUUUAUUUAUUUUUUUUUUUAUUAUAAGUUAAGAGUUCCAAUUUUGGAUUUAAUAAAGAAGAAAGGCACUCAGUUGUAACAUAGGUUGUGACAUAAGAAUCUCGUAAGUUUAUAUUGAUAAUACUAACUAUUAAUCUUGGAGGUUUGAGGUUUGUCCUAAAAUAUAUUCCGGCAAAUAUCUUGCCAGUCAUUCAUUUUCUGUUAUCCUUCAAGUGGAUAGCCGUAAUAGUACUCUAAUGUCUCUAAUAAUAUAUUUUGAUCUUGUAUCAUAAUAUUGAAAGUUUGCUCGUCUCGAAAGUAUUGCUGGUAAUAAUUUUCCCAAUCAUGUUCAGGGAGGUGACAAAUGCCAGAAAACCAAAGUUGUAAAUCAAAUUUGUCUUGGAUCCUAUCUAACCAUAAUUGUUUUUGUUGUGAGUUUUCUAGCCUUUUAUAAAGAGUCUGUCUGUUGUAUUCUUUGCAUGCUGCUGCUAAGGCUUUUUCUUCACCUAAAUGCUUAAAGCUAGAAAGGAUAAUGUGAAAGGGCAUAACAGCAAAUGGGUCUUCAAAUAACCUGUGUAUGUCUUGGAUUAUAUCAUCAAGAGUUUCUUCAGAUGGUUUAAGGAAAACGUCAGUGCAAAAUGGGCAAUAAUGUGGAUCCAUGUCUUUGAACCUGAAAUGUCUGGACCAAUAUACAUUAUGUUAAUAUUAUUAUGUCUAGAGAAGAUUCUUUUAAAUGAAUAAUCUUCAGAUAUCAGAUAUAAUAUUAUCUAAAGGUUCUUCAAAUAGUCUCCAAAUGUCUAUAAGGAUAUUGUCUUGAAAGCAUAAUUCACAGAGGAUUUGACUGAAUUCAGAUAUUUCAAAAUCUUCAUUUUCCUCUGGGAUAGUGUCUAAAAUAAAAAACAUUCGUUGUGUCUGGUAAUGGGUCAUGUCUCUUUCGUCCAUGUCUUCUGUUUCCAAUGUGUCUUCUUCUAUGAACCAUAUGUCUACUUCAUCUUGAGCGGUUAUGGUAUUGUAAAAGUCUGGAUUAGUGAAUUCUAGAAGUUCGUCUUCAUGAGUCUGGAGACACAUUUUUGUAAGACCUUGUACUUCUGAAAAAUUCAAAGUCAAAGGGUUUUAUUAGUAGUAGAACUGGGAGUCUGAUUUUUAGAUGUACCAGGAGUGUUAGGAGAUCUAAGUUCUGGUGGAGUUAAAAGGCGUGGAAUUUGUCUGUGGAAGGUCCAUGGUUGGACAAUUUUCUUUGGAAGAGUACCUUUUGAGUGUUCUUGAAAUUGGAGUGCAGAAAAGUGUUUUGUUACUUCCUGUAUGAUAGGAGUUGUGUCUAUGGUAGGAGUAAUGCUUUCAGCUUGUCUUUGUUGCAUUACCAAAUGUUCUAAUGUAUGUAUUCUACUGUGUAAUCCUAAUAAUAGUUGGAUAAUAGAGUUGUUUUGUUUGAUUAUAACUUGUUCAGAUAUGGCUUGUGGGAGAUGAGAUGAAAAGCCUAUAGAGGUUUUGUCUGGACUAUAGUUUUGUACUUUUGAUAAAGUCUUAUGUAAAAUUUCAGCUUCAAGGUGCUCGGGAUUAGUCAUCCAAGAGAAAUUUGUUUAAUUUCUGCUAACCUCUGAAGACUGUUAUGUAAAUCUUGUUCGAUUUUAAGUAGCUUUUGUUCUAUUCUUUGAGGUCUUGCCUCUAGUUGACUUAGUCUAUGGUUUAUAUUAGAAAGUCUUUGUUCUAUCAAAUUAUUUUGGUUUUUGAUAUAAUCUAGGUUUCUUGAAAUUUUAUCAAGUAAUUCUGUUUGUGUUCUAAUUGUCUGAUCAAGUCUAAGUACUAGUUGUUGAAGAGUCCUUAGUGGAUCUAUUUUGAAUAUUUUUAUGAAAACCGAAAGUAAAGGUAUGGAAUUCUCCUGUGAGAUGGUAAAUAAUGAAAGGAUAAGGAAGGCUUAGGUUUGACAAAGUCUUAUCAUAUAAUGUUAAAAAUGCAAAAUAAUAAAAGGGCUUUUUGCUUUUUUGUUUUUCUUUUGAUUCUAGCCGUGGUUGUAAAUUUAGAGAAAACAAGUACGGUUUGGAGGAGAUUCUAUGAUUAAUUUAUUAAGUAAGUCUAUCUGAGAUUUGGUAUUCUUUUCUAUGACUACUAAAAUUUGUUGAAUGCUGAAAAGGAUGAUUAAAAUGCUUAAAAGAAAUAUGGAUGGUACUAGCAUUAAAAUCUUCGUGGAGGCUGAGGAGGUCGUCUGGAAAGAAUGUCAAAUAGAUGAGGGUAGUGUAUAAGUUCUUUAUCUAGAGUAAGUAGGAUUAAAGAAAGUAAAUCUAGAUACCUAUGAGUUUCAAUGUAAAAUGUUUUUAAGACACGAAAAUGUACUAAAGUCCCGAUAGGAUGAUUAGCGUAAAUAGGAUUGUUAAUAGGAUUAAAAGUGAAAGCGUCUAUGUCAAAAGCGUCUUCGACUGUUACUUCUAAAAAUCUUCGUCUUCCAAUAUGAACAAUGUUGUAUCGCCAGUUAAAUUGUCUUGGGCUGGUGGUAUUAUCACUAUAGUCUGAACUGUCAUCACUAUUGUUAUUGUCUUCGUAUUCUUCGUAAUCUGGUAAAAUUUCGUCUUCGUUUGGAUUAGCCAGUGUAUUUAUUAUUGUCGAAAUAUCUGAAAAACAAGAAAAGGGUCUAUUUCCCAAAGCUGAGAUAUAAGUUGUAGGAAAAUAAUUAUUAAGGGGAGUGGAACUCCUAAAGUUAAGGAAUCUAUAAUAAAAGUUUCUAUAUAAUAGGGAGUGUAGAGAAAGUUUAGAAUUGGUUCGAUGAGAUAAUAUAAGCACACUAUAAGAAAUCUAAAUAUAGAUUCGAUUAAUAAAUAUAAUGCUAUGUCUUUAUCCAGUUUGAAAAAUGUUAAAUAGGUUGAAAAAUGUUAAAUUAUUAUUUUCUUCCUAUAUAUUGAAAAGGCCAAGUAAUAAGGUAUCGGUCAAAAGUUUCCCAAUAUAUUAUUAAUAUGUCUAAAAUAUUGUAUAUGAUGUCUUCUGGAAAUCCUAACAGAAAUAAUGUUAAAAUAAAAGUUGUCAAGGAAAAAGGUUGAUCGAUGAUAUUACAAAAAAGUUGGUCUGUAUUAUUAUCCGGUGCUUUCCUUUUUGGCAUAAAAAAGUUUUACUAUUUAUUAAAUAUGUGGUUGCAUUGAGGACUUUAGUUAAGAAAAUUUAUUUUCUUUUCUUUUCUCUGUCUUGCUUAAGAAGAAAGCGAGGCUGUUGAAUUGAUUGAAAAAAGAUAAUUAAUAUGGUGUAGCUUUAAGAAAGGAAACUAAAUGUCUUAUAGCUAAAUUAAGAGUAUAAGUGUAUAAUUAAAAGUCUUUGCUAAUUGUAACCAAGAAAGUCUUAGUCUACCAAGAAUGUCUUAGUUUACCAAGAAAGUCUUAGCUCUGAUACCAAGAGGAAACAAGAAAGUCUUAGCUCUGAUACCAAGAAUGUCUAAUUUUAACUUUAUCUUUCCUCCUCCUCUUGAAGGAUGGUGAGCAAGGAAGCAGAGCAAGAGAAAAUCCCACUUAGCCCCUGCCUUAUGUAAAAAUUGCGCUGAAGUUUAAAGGAAGAUCAUUUCGACGACAAGUGAAGAAUGAAGCUCUCAUCUUGUUAGAUAUAGCAUCCUAGCUCCACAAAUAAAUCCAAUGGCUUUUAUUUUCCUGUCCUUCCUGUAAAAAUUUAUCUUUUCAACAACUGCAAUCUGGAGUGAAGAGUCUGUACAAACAAGUCCUUCUUUCCCCCCGGGAAGUCCUGGAAGGGAAACCUUCUAGCGUUGUGAUGUAAGUUUUAUCUCUUGUUUAAUAUUAUAUUUCUCGAACUCUUCUAUCCAUGGCAUUUUCUUUGCCCCAUGAUUCCCUUUCCUUGGACUCUUAAUGAAAAUUUAUGGGUUCUCUCUGAGUAAUUAUUUCAGCUUAAGCAAGUGUAAAGCAUAUAUGCUUGGCAGAUUUGAUAAGAGAAAAAAUGCUCUGUAAAUUUCGCCAUUGAUAGCCAGAAGUGCUUUGCGGCGUAAGAGCGAGGUUCUCUGAAAACUGUACGCCAAGAGGGUCUUGUGCACCAACACUGUGUCUUAAGUGGUGUUAUCCACAUAAGAAAAUUAAAUUUCAUCAUAAGUCCGAGUAUUAGGAAAAUUGCAACAUCGAAAAUUUAAUGAGAUAAAGAGUUUUAGAAAUAUAAAAAAAACAUCUGAGAAAAUUUUUAUCUUGAUUUCUAGAAGGGAGUACCAGACGGGACCUACUUUAAAAAAGAUUUUAAAAUUUUAUCUUCCACAACGGCGAUUUUAAAUUUGCGCUUCAUCCUAUUUUUAUUCAUACUAGAAAAAAUAUCCUUUAAGACAUAUAUAUUUUUCUUUCCGUUCCUUUUUUACUGCGAACUGUCUAUCAAACAAUUUCAUCUAAACAUCCACCUACACAUCCCAAUUAAAUUAGUAUUUAAUAGCGACCAACAUCGUUUCCGCCUACAAACACACUUCAAUUUAAGUUUUUAAAACUCAAAAAGAUAAAAAAAAAAAGAAAUAUAUAAAAAAUAAAAAAUAAAAAACCCCCCACGUGCAUGUCACUUUUCAUAAUUAGCACUAAUUACGCCACUUAAAUUUUAGACCGAAAAAAUUCUUAAAAAAUCUUAAAAAAUCAAAAAUAUUCCCACGAGUCUUUUGCUACCCUUGUCCAGAAUAGCCGACAUAUAGUUUCUCCUCUGCACAUUUUUCUGUUCUACUUUCACUAUUUGCAUAGUAAAACCAUAAUUCUUACGUGAAUAGUGUUUUUGAUAAAAAAAAAAAAAAAUCUCAUUCACGUGAAGCCACUGUAUGCAUAGUUAUCAUGCAUAGUAACUUCGCUAAUUUUCGACAGCAACAUUUCCAGACAGAAAAAAUACUAAAAAAUCCAGAAAAAUCUUGCUUGUAUUUUGCCACCCUUCUUCAAAGUAGCCGACAUACGGUCUCUCCUAUAAAAAUCUUUCUUUACUAAUUUGCAUAGUAACUCGCAUAGUGUUUUUUGCAUAGUAACUUCUAUAUACGUACGCACUAAUCGUGCAUAGUACGCUACACUAAUUAAUAUAUUUUUAGCGUCAGAAAAAUUCCCAAAAAAUACCCAAAAAAUUAUUAAAAUUUCAACUUUUUUUUUCUUACUCUCACUUUUCCUCUUAGAAAUUUUCUACAACUUAAUAUAUUACAUAAUCUGACCCAACCCCUAAUAUUUCCGCAUUUUCUAAAAUUCUCAAAAAAUCCCAAAAAUAUUGAAAAACUCCUUUUUAGGUUUUUGCUUCUUUCAAAGGUUUGUUUUUCCCUUAAUACCUUAGGGUUUUCAUAAAUAGACUAGGGUUUUCUCCAUAAAUUCUAGGGUUUUAUUUCUCACAGGGUUUUUAUCACAAUAGACUUGUAGUUUGUGUUUAACACUACUUCUAAACCUUUUCCUAAACCCUAAACCCUAAACCCUAAACCCUAAACUUGGAACUAGCCAAGCCUAAACAAGCUAGCCCCCUCCCCCCUCUUGGUAUCAGAGCUUAGACUUUCUUGGUAUAGACACUUAGCCUCUUGACUAACAUUGUUUAUUUAAAAGACUUUUUGAUUAGAGACUUUCUUGGUAAACUAAGACAUUCUUGGUUACAAUUAGCUAGGACUUUUUAAUUAUAAACUUUGUUAGUUAUGGACUUUCCUACAUCAUCUUCUCAACAACACAGACUAUCUAGAUCUAAUUCUUCUAGAUCUGAAGGUAGUGAAUCUACAAUAUCUUUAAGAGCUCCUAAGUCUAGAGCAAGGAGCAUAGUCGAAAAAUUUUUUUGCAGACCAACACCUCUUCCGUUAGUUCCUAGAUCCCAGACACCUCAAUUAGAUAAUGUUGUAGAUGUUGAUGAUGACAUUGCAAUAUUCCGUACCCACGGGUUACGUCUUAUAAAUCCAGACAUUCUAUAUGAUAAGCGACAACGAUAUGUUGAUAAGACUAAAUUUAUUUCUUUUAAAAGUGAAGUGUCAGUUGAAUGUUAUGACGGCCAACACAUUUCAAUACCCUUAGCUAAUAGCGACGUACAAAAGAGUAUUAGAAAAGCAGACAUAGCUCUUAUGCAUUUAGGAUUAAUUGUAAUAGGCAUAAAAGGACUAGUACGUAAAAAAUUAGGAUCUAAAGUUCUCCUAAUGCCUUAUGACAACAGACACAAGAAUAUAAUUGAUGCAUCUUUAGGUUGCACUGAAAUAGAUAUGAAUUUUAACGGUGGAAUAUUUUAUGUUGUUCCAGACUUUCUAAUGCCCUCAUUAGACUUUGCAAGUCAGAUUAAAAUUGGUAUACAAGUUAGAGGAAUAGACUUAUAUGAAGGACAAAAUUUUAGGAAUUUACAGGUAUGUAUUGGAUUUACAGGUCUGUUAACACCCACUGCCGAGUCACAUUUCUUAAUGAACCCUUUAGGUGUAGUAGAUCUAAUGGGAACACAAGGCAUGAAAUUAAUAGCACCAAUGGAAAUAGAUGCUAAAAAAUAUGCCGGCCUUGAAUGGAAUUUGGAUAAAUUUACGCAAAUUCGACAAACUACAAUAGCUCCUGCAGACACUAUUUACUACCAAAAUGAACAAGGAAGAAACUCACUUAGAUUUACAGACUUUGAGACAAUUGAAGAAACAGAAGAUGACAAAGAUAGGACUACACCAUUAAUCCGAAAAAGAAGUAGUACAUCAUCCCAACUAGGUGAAUCGAGUACCCAACGAAGAGAUUUAAAUCUUCUACCCCAAAAUCAACCUCCAAAUUUAAAUGUACCUUAUAACUUAGAAAGCCAACCCAAUGUUGAAUAUAAUUUUAUGGAAUACAACAAUAUUGACUAUUCUUCUGAAUCUGAACCUGAAGAUGAAGAAUUUAGCGAUGAAGAAGAGAUCCGUCUGAUAGAACAGAUCAGACUAAAAAGACAAUUAAGAUCUGAAAAAGAUAAAAGAUUAGGAUACACUCCUCUCAAUGACAAUUUUAUUUAUAACCUAAGAGAUGAAAUUAGAGAAAUAAACUUAGCAGAAGAAGGAGAAGGAUCUACUGUCCAUAAUCCUCCUGUUACACAUACUCCUCCACCAUAUCAUGUUGAACAUCCAUUAACUACUCCUCCAGCUCCACAGAGAUCUCCUAGACCUCAUGCAUCCAAUCCCGGAUACUCACAUAUACCAUAUUAUGAUACAGUCCGAAUGCCAGCAGAAACCUAUAAUACUGGUAAUUUUCCUAGACAUAGCAUCUCCUCAGCCCCAGAAGAACAAAUUUACCCAUAUGGUAGAAAUGUUAGAUCAUAUGGCAAAAAAUAUCCUUUUGAAAAUCCUGUUAAUUUGCAAGACGCAGGAUCUGGAAAAAUAUUAAACAUAGCAGCACAUGACCCCCAAACUUGGGAUUCUAUAAUAGACAUUUGGAAAGGAUUAGUUGUAGCAGAUUAUAUUCGGAAUCAGCACUACAUGAACACAGACAAUGCCGAAGAAAUGUAUAAAUACUUAGAAACCUUCCUAGGAGAAUCUACUAAAGGAAUGUGGGAACAAUAUAAAGUUCAAUAUGAAGAAGAAUUUAGACAUCUUUUAACACUAGGAUGUAAUCCUUGUAAUUUUACAAACAAAGUUCAUUCUCUUAUUACAGGCCAAGACCCUAAUUCUGGCCAAUUACUCCUCCAAAACCAAGCUCUUAUCAGCCUAGAACAACUUAGUAUUUCAACCUGGUUCCCUAUUAAAGACUUUCUACAGGCAUACCUAUAUUAUACAAGUAUAAGUGGAAAUGCAUUUAGUCAAGACAUAGGAAGAAAAUUAUUCUUAAAACUUCCAGGAGCCCUAGGCAGAGAAAUUCAAGACAGAUGGGAUACAAUGGAAAAAGAAACCAUAAGACAACCCAGAUACUAAAUGGUCCAUAGGACAAAGAGUAAAAUUCAUAAUGAAUAUAUUACAAGAAAAAUGUGCCAAUAUUCAAAUCACAAAGCAAUUAAAAGACAAUGAAUAUUCUUUCUGUAAAAGUGUGGUAUAUACUCCCCAACAGUAUAGAAACCCAUUUUAUAAAAAUCCAAAGAAAAAAUCUAAACAUUACAUCCCUCAAUACAAAGGAUAUAAGACAAGAAUGAAAUAUUCCUUAAGGCGAUCAAAAGCCAAAAAGCCCUAUUUAAAUAAAGACAACCAUGUUAGAAAAUAUAAAUCCGACAGAACUUAUAAAAGCAAACUUCUUUGUUAUACAUGUAAUAGUCCAGGCCAUUUUGCAAAUGCAUGUCCAAGAAGACAAAACAUAAAGAACCGAAAUGCUUUACUUAUAGAAGAUACUGGUGAAACCUUGUUAGCAGUAGAUGAACUUGUAUCAGACACUGAAACUAUUUACUCCAUUGAAAAUAAUAUAGUCUACGAGAAAGAAAGUGACAGAGAAUCUUCCUCUGAUGAAGACAAUAAUAACUACAAUACUUUUAUCUCAAAUAUGGCUGAAGGUACUAAAACAAAGCAAAAAGAACAUACGUAUUUUUUUGAAUCUGCAAUGAUUUUUGAAGACCCUAACGAAAAUACAUCCAUGACUUCCCCACUAGAAGAACAAACAUGGACUUCGUUUUAUGACAGUACCACUGUUCUUUAUGAGGGAGUACAAACUCUAGAACAAGAACAAAACCCUAAUUGGGAAUUAGCCGCCCGAGACUAUAAAAUUCAAUUAUUAAGACAAAGAGCACAAGAAAGGAUAGACAAACGAAUAUGGAAAAUAGCUAUGGAAAUACAAAACCAGAGUGGAUCAAGAAUCCGAGAAAUAAUCGAAUAUGAACGCAAACAGAGGUUAUUAGAUACUAAGGACCAAAAUAAAAUUAUUCGAGAUAUUAGGAUUCUGUUCGAUGAUCUUUCAGAACAAGAAGACAUUAUAAAAGACAUACGACAUCUCUUUGAAAUAUCUCAAACCUCAUUUCAUGACCCUACUAUUCAUUUUAUGACCCUUAUGAAUCUAAAUGAAGAAUGCAGCCAUGAUUGGCAAGAAAGACAAGGAUAUGACCAUAGACCUUGCACAUACUGUAAUUUCUUUCCAGAAAGAAAACUUAGAUGUAAAUGUCGCUUAUGUAAAAUUGAAGCAUGUUCAAUUUGCUUAAACAAAAAGUUUAAUAGACAAAUUACAAAUUUAGAACCUAAAAGGACUUUUGAAAUUGAACACUUAAAUGCCCAUGAAAAAAGAAUUAUAGCAUUAGAAGCUAGAGUCAGCCUUCUAGAAAAACAAGAUAAUCCGCGAAAAAACAAGGACAUUACAAACAAAGGAAAAGGAAUUGAGAUCUGUGAAAAUAUGACAGAACUAUCUGAAUAUUAUGAAGAAGAAAAUUUGCGGGUAUAUGAAGAUAGUUAUAUCUGUAAUGAAGGAUUAAAACUACGAAGCUUAAUUGUUCCAUGUAAAAUACAAAUAGGAAACAAAGAUUUUGAAACAGAAGCAGUAAUUGACACUGGCUGUACGACAUGUCUCAUACAUACAGAUCUAGUCCCUUUAAAUUAUCGAAAGACAGCAAAAGAACCAACAAGUGGUAUCCAAAUGGAUGGUACUGCCCACAAAUAUACACAGUAUGUCUCUAAUGCAAAAAUUAGCUUCUUAGAUACAUGUAAUACAUUCAAUGAAACCUAUACCAUUCCCAAGGUUUGGUUACGAAAAAUGAAAAUAAAUGCAGACUUUGUAUUAGGCUUAAAUUUUAUGCUCCAUUUUUUAGGAGGAAUAAGCAUCAAUAGAGAUUAUGUUAAAUUCUACAACAUGUCACAAUGACUCCAGUACAAAAGAAAGCAAAGAAACCCUUAAAAGAUAGAAUAGAUUGCUGUGACAAUUGCUCCAAGGGAGAACCUUGUUCCCUAGAUAAGAUAACAGACGAAACAGACUUAUUAGAAUUUGACGCUUGGCAUAAUGAUUUUUCUUAUAAUCUAGAAAAAUUAUUAGACAACGAUUCAAUUUGUAUGGAUUAUGACUUUGUAAAUUGGGAAAAAACCCUCUUAAAUAUAGGUUUUAUUAGAAACCAGCAAGACAUAGACGAAAUAUUACAUAAACUUGACAAAUUAGAAAUUAUGGGAGACAACCCAAUUAAAUAUUGGGAAAACGAUAAAAUAUAUUGUAAACUGGAUAUAAUUAAUCCAGAAUAUAUAGUUAGAACUUAGAACUGCCUCUAUAGACUUCACUAACGAAGAAAGAGAACAAUUUAAACUACACAUAAAUGAACUAAUUAAAUUAGGUGUUAUACGAAAAUCGAUAUCUAAACAUAGAUCAACAGCUUUUAUAGUUAUGAAACAUUCUGAGAUAGUACGAGGAAAAAGCAGGAUGGUCAUUAACUACAAAAGACUUAAUGACAAUACAAAAUUCGAUGGCUAUACUAUUCCAGACAAAUCUCAAUUAAUAAACAGUAUACAAGAUAAAAAGAUUUUCAGUAAAUUUGACUGUAAGUCAGGUUUUUGGCAAGUAAAAAUGGACAAAGAGAGUAUAGAAUGGACAGCCUUUACCUGCCCAGAAGGACAUUUUGAAUGGCUAGUCAUGCCUUUUGGCCUUAAAAAUGCACCUUCUAUUUUUCAAAGAAAAAUGGAUACAAUCUUUAAUGAACACAGAGAUUUUGUCUUAGUUUAUGUCGAUGACAUUUUAGUUUUCAGUAAAAACAUACAAGAACAUCUAGGACACCUACAGGUAGUCUUUCAUGAAUUUAUUAAACAUGGAAUUAUUAUAAGUAAAAAUAAAGUUGAACUCUGUAAAAAAUACAUCAAUUUCUUGGGAGUAACUAUUGGUGAAGGAAAGAUAAAAUUACAACCCCAUAUAGCCAAGAAAAUCCUAGACAUGCCAGACAAACUUGAAACUCUUAAAGAAUUACAAUCCUUUUUAGGACUAGUAAAUUAUGCCAGAACAUUUAUCAAAGACCUAGGAAAAAUCGCAGGACCUUUAUAUGCUAAGACUGGAAAAUCAGGACAAAGACACUUUAAUGCUGAAGACAUAAAAUUGGUCAAACAAAUAAAAGCCCUCGUAUCUGAAUUACCAGACCUAGAUCUUCCGUUAGAUUCUGAUUAUAUUAUCAUAGAAACAGACGGUUGUGAUUUAGGAUGGGGCGCAGUCUUAAAAGCAAGAUCUAAUAAAUAUAGUGACACAAAAGAAGAAAAAUUAUGCGGAUACGCAAGUGGGAAAUAUAGAGAAAGAGGAAAAAUAAGCAGCAUAGAUGCGGAAUUACUAGCAGUAAUAUAUGCUCUUGAUGCUUUCAAACUAAAUGUUAUUAAUAAACAGGAAAUAACAAUCCGAACAGACUGUGAAGCUAUUACUAAAUUCUCUCAUAAAAAGGACGAAAAAGCUAGUUCUAGACGCCGAUGGAUUAAUUUUCAAGACAGAAUAUCGAUAACUCAUAUUAAUUUUGAACAUAUUAGAGGGAAAGAUAAUUUUUUCCCUGAUCAAUUAAGUAGAGGAUUUUUUGAGCAUACUACUUUUGAGAUUAACAUGGUGUAUGUUGAUAUUUCAGAUUCAGACAUUUCAGGCUCAGACACAGACAUGGAUCCAAAAGCUUCUAAUUCCCUCAUAAAAUCACCACCUAUUAUAAGACAACCUCGGAUAGCUUAUGGCAAAGAAAAUCUCAUUUAUUUUUCCCAAAUUAUUUUCCGUCCUCGAAAUCCAAACAUUUUAUUACCAGACGAACAAAAAUGUUUGAUUGACAAUCUAUGGUUAUGUUACCAUAGGACAUCCAAUCAUCAAGAACCAGACAAAAAAUAUUUUGUUGCAUGCAUAAAUUCCUUGAUAGAAUAUUUCCAGACUGUCAAGCCCAAAGACUCUUUCCCUUUCUAUGUGGUACUUUAAGGUUUUAAAACCGGAAUUUUUGAUUCCUGGAUUGAUGUUAUUACUCAGCUUUAAAAUUUUCCCCAACCUCUCUACAAAGGUUUUCAUUCUAUCUCCGAAGCCUUAGACACUGCCCGUACCUACUUUGGUCCAAACUUUUUUAUCUCUCCCAAUAUUCGCUCUUCUUCACAUAUUCAAGCCUCUACAUCCAUCCACAAUCUCGAGAAAAAUAGUUUCUGUGAUAACUGCUCAACAAUGGCAACACAGCUUCAAAAGCUGAACACUAUUUGUGAUGACUUGAGAACAAAGGAUCAGAAAAAUCUCCAAAGAAUUGCUAUUCUGGAACAGCAGAUCAAAGACCUCAAGCAUCCCUCACAACAAGGUAUUGUAUCUCUACCUCAAUCUUCCUCUUAUCCUCUUCCAAAGUAUCCUCCUAUAAUGACAACUACACCGAGUUUGGUCUUUCCUCCUAUUACCAACAUAAAUACCCCAUUUCAAAAUUCACUAAUCCCAGUAGUCCAUCCCUCUAUCUCAGUAAAACCUCUUCCUUUAUCAUCAGCACCUUUUCCACCACAAAGGCCUUCCCUCAAAAGAUAUCCACAGCCAAUUGCCAAACCUUUCCGAAAAAUUGAACCCUCUUCAGAACCAUUACCACACCCUAGUAUAAGAAACACUGAAGAAAAACAAGGAGAUCCCAUGAUACUAGAAGCAUCUUCUCCCAAAUAUGACAAUUUAGGGGAAAAUGCUUAGCCACCUGGUUCUGAUAUUUUGUACAUAUUUGUAAAUAUUUCUUUCAGUUCUGCAAUUUUAGUUGCACCUUUUCAUUUAGUCCUUGUAUAGGACACUGCUAAAAAAAAAAAAAAGCAAAGAGAAAAAUGAAAAAAGAAUUUCCAGAGAAAAGUGGAAAUAUGAAAAAGAAGAAAGAAUCAGGAAAUGAAAAAAUCAAAGAAAAAAUUGAAAAAUGAAAAAAGCAGAAAAAACAAAGCAAAAAUCAAGAAAAGAAAGAAAAAUGAGAAAAAGAAAAAAGAAAAAAGAAUUAACCCGCUGUGAUUCUUUCACAGGCAAAAAUAAGGGUUUUUAGUUAGGGCUUUUUCGCUACUCAGUUUUUAUUUUUCAGGUUUUAAAAUCUUUUUGCUAGUCACUUGUGAUCCAACUCCACCACCACAAGCAAGGUUCUAAAGUCUGUUCCCAAACAGACACCAUCAGUGACCUUCCAAAAUUUUAGAGCAAAUUUUGGCCCCCAUCAAGCAGAUGACGAAUCGACACGUGGCCUCCAUUUUUUCGAAGCAUCACAUGGACAUCACUCAUGCACCAAGUCCAUGCACCAGGUCUACCAAAUUGUCUCGCCAAUGAUGACCAUCCAAAACCACUACGCCUGAGGUUUUUUUUUCAAAACCAGUGGGCCCACGUCAUCAUGCCGCGUCAUCAUUCCAUCCAUUACCUAAACCUGCGUAGCCACGGUUUUUUUGAAAACCAGGUGCCGCCGCAGUUUUCUCCUCCAAAACCUCCCUUCCUUCGGCUAUAAAAGGAAGCCUUCCUCCUCCUCUUUAAGCAUGGUGAAAAAAUUAUCCAAAGGAAAGAGCCAUUCUCCACAUUCCCUCUGCCACUUCCCUAUGCAAAAGUCCCCUGAAGCUUAAAGGAAGAUCAUUUCGACGACAAGUGAAGAAUGAAGCAAGCCUCUUGUUAGAUAUAGCAUCCUAGCUCCACAAAUAAUUCCCUAAUGGCCUUUAUUUUCCUGUCUUUCCUGUAAAAAUUUAUCUUUUUCUCAACUGCAUUCUGGCGUGAAGAGUCUGUACAAACAAGUCCUUUCUUUCCCCCCGGGAAGUCCCGGAAGGGAAACCUUCUAGCGUUGUGAUGUAAGUUUUAUCCUUUGUUUAAUAUUAUAUUUCUCGAACUCUUCUAUCCAUGGCAUUUUCUUUGCCCCAUGAUUCCCUUUCCUUAGACUCUUAAUGAAAAUUUAUGGGUUCUCUCUGGAUAAUUAUUUCAGCUUAAGCAAGUGUAAAGCAUAUAUGCUUGGCAGAUUUGAUAAGAGAAAAAAAUGCUCUGUAAAUUUCGCCAUUGAUAGCCAGAAGUGCUUUGCGGCGUUAGAGCGAGGUUCUCUGAAAACCGUACGCCAAGAGGGUCUUGUGCACCAACACUGUGUCUUAAGUGGUGUUAUCCACAUUAGAAAAUUAAAUUUCAUCAUAAGUCCGAGUUUUAGGAAAAUUGCAUCAUCGAAAAUUUAAUGAGAUAAAGAGUUUUAGAAAUAUAAAAAAAACAUCUGAGAAAAUUUUUAUCGUGAUUUCUAGAAGGGAGUACCAGACGGGACCUAAUUUAAAA
rnacentral:lncRNA from 1 species